UGAGACACUGCCCAGACACCUACGGGUGGCUGCAGUCGAGAAUCUUCGGCAAUGGGCGAAAGCCUGACCGAGCGACGCCGCGUGUGGGAUGAAGGCCUUCGGGUUGUAAACCGCUGUCAGAGGGGAGGAAAUGCGUGGGGGUACUCCCCUGCGUUUGACCUAUCCUCAGAGGAAGUACGGGCUAAGUUCGUGCCAGCAGCCGCGGUAAGACGAACCGUACAAACGUUAUUCGGAAUCACUGGGCUUAAAGGGUGCGUAGGCGGCGCUGAAAGUUGGGUGUGAAAUCCCUCGGCUCAACCGAGGAACUGCGCCCAAAACUACAGUGCUCGAGGGAGAUAGAGGUGAGCGGAACUUAGGGUGGAGCGGUGAAAUGCGUUGAUAUCCUAAGGAACGCCAGGGGCGAAAGCGGCUCACUGGAUCUCUUCUGACGCUGAGGCACGAAAGCUAGGGUAGCGAACGGGAUUAGAUACCCCGGUAGUCCUAGCCGUAAACGAUGAGUACUAGAUGGAAGGGUCCUCCAUAGCCUUUCCAUCGAAGCGAAAGUGCUUAGUAC
rnacentral:rRNA from 1 species